ACCCUUUGUUGUCCGACUCUGUUGCCUCCGGGGCGACCCUGCCUCCGGGCGGGGGCCCCGGGUGGACAUUUCAAACUCUUGCGUAACUUUGCAGUCUGAGUAAAUUUAAUUAAUAAAUUAAAACUUUCAACAACGGAUCUCUUGGUUCUGGCAUCGAUGAAGAACGCAGCGAAAUGCGAUAAGUAAUGUGAAUUGCAGAAUUCAGUGAAUCAUCGAAUCUUUGAACGCACAUUGCGCCCCCUGGUAUUCCGGGGGGCAUGCCUGUUCGAGCGUCAUUUCACCACUCAAGCCUCGCUUGGUAUUGGGCGACGCGGUCCGCCGCGCGCCUCAAAUCGACCGGCUGGGUCUUUCGUCCCCUCAGCGUUGUGGAAACUAUUCGCUAAAGGGUGCCGCGGGAGGCCACGCCGUAAAACAACCCCAUUUCUAAGGUUGACCUCGGAUCAGGUAGGGAUACCCGCUGAACUUAAGCAUAUCAAU
rnacentral:rRNA from 2 species